rnacentral:tRNA from 20 species
CGGGAAAUAGCUCAGCUUGGUAGAGCGCUACGUUCGGGACGUAGAGGUCGCAGGUUCGAAUCCUGUUUUCCCGA